rnacentral:lncRNA from 1 species
UUGGCGCUUAACUUUUGUUCUUGCCAGCUAUUUUACUGUUUUGAAUAUUUAAUUGAGUUCAAAUAAUUCUUUUUACAAUAAAUUUGAGGAGUAAUUUAGGAGGAUUAUUUUGAAAAUAAAACGGAUUUAGUAGAUAAUUAACUAGGUGGUUAGAGAGUAUAAAUCAGUAUAGUUGAGUGGAGUUAAUUAGGAUUAACUAAAUUAUUUUAUCUAAUCUUUAAAAUGAUGAUGGUGAUUAAUAUUCUUGAAAUAUAUUAGUGAGGUAUGAAUGAGACUAAAUUGAUGUGUUAGUUAUUGUACUUAAUUGACAAACUGUAUUUGUGAGUUUAUUGAUGAUGUUUCAUUGACGUGAAUUAUUGAUGAAUUCUAUUUCUGUAUUAAAUGAUAUGAAUUCUAUUGGUAUUUUAAUGAUGAUGUUAGCGCGUAUGCACAAUGAAGGUGCUUUUCGUGCUUAUGCACAAUGACGAAGUGAGAUUAUUCAGUAAUAUAAUUUUGAUGUCCAAUUUUGAUAAUGAUGUGUUGUUGAUAGUAGUAUGUAUGAUUGAUGUGUUGAUAUAAUGAUAUGUCCAUGCAUACAUUCAUGAUGUUCGUUCCUUUGGGAUAAUGCGUUGUUCAUGCCUUUGACAUAUUAUUGGUGCAUGCCUUUGGCAUAAUGACGGUGUGGGAUCUUUCGGUAAUAUAACUCUGACGCCCAAAAAUUUGGUACCACAUGCAUAUAGGUCGAGUCUAGGGAAUCAUUGCAUACUUAUUUGCAAUAGUUGAAAUGUUGUGUGAUUGAUUUAAUCGAUUGAUUAGUGAUAUAAAUUGAAGUGUUGAUUAAAUGGUAUAAAUGAUGUAUGAAUUAUUAAUGUGAUAUAGACAUGUUUAUAUCUUGUUGUGUUAUUUUCUAUUUUUACUUAUUACAUAAACUUUUAUGUUAUGGGCUCUUGGGAGUCCAGGUCCUCAGGUUAUUUGAUUCUCGGUGUUCUAUCUUUCGGUGAAGCUCCGCUCUAAUGGUGACUCAUGCAUGGGAAGAGUCUUUAGAGUCUUAUGUGUUGCUGUUAUUCUAGACUAAAAUGUAUUGCUUAGAAUAGGAUUUGUCACAUUCUACAUUUAUGCUAAGUAAUUAUCUUAGGAAUGUAAGAUGUAGAGGUUAAUACCUUAAACUAAUAUUUUUAUACUUUCACUUUUGCAGUUUAAAGUAAUUAAAGUUGUUUUUAUCCGCCGAGUAAAUUUAAAGAGUAUGCUGAAUCUAGAAUAAUAUGGAUAUUGGAUUUUGGGUGUUACAUAAAUUACACUGGAAAAAAAAUUCGAAAAAUAUUUUCUGAAGUUUUUUGCACGAAAAGAGAAAUUUUGUGGUGAAAAGAGAAAUAAUCGGAAAGAAAUUGGUUCCUUACAUUUUCUUGAAUAGAAAGUCCAGUUCAAUCCUAGCCAUUGGAUUUAAAGUGUAAGGCAUCUGGGUUAAAUCACCACCAUUUUUUUCUUUACUCAUCCAAAAUAAAACAAAAAUAUUCUUAUUAUAAAAUAUCUAGAUAUUUCCUAAUUAGUUUCACAUCACCUCGCUUGGUUUUCGCAUUAGCUCUUAAACGAGUUGUAUCUCACGUAAAGAUAACUUUACGAAAAAUAGAAAAA